UUGACACAUUCCAGCCAAUCAGCAGCAGACCCUCCCUCCCAGACCCUCCCACCUCCUGGACAGCUCACUAAGAAUGCAGCUUCACAAUGAAUGUAAAAUGGAUGCUGUCCAGGAGGUGGGAGGGUCUGGGAGGGAGGGUCUGCUGCUGAUUGGCUGGAAUGUGUCUG